rnacentral:misc_RNA from 1 species
AACGGUCUAUACCUGCGGUACCUGCGGAAGGAUCAUUACAUGGCGGAGGAGGUGGGCACCUAGUAAAACAAAACCCUAGGUGUGUUGCCUACCACGCUUUCUACCCUUGUCUAUUUGCACCUUUUGUCGUUCCCUCGGUGGGUCUUGAACCUGCCGGCGGCAACUUUCAAAAACCUUUUGUAGUUAGUAUCUAAUUCUUCUGAUCAAAUAUUCAAUCGUUACAACUUUUAACAAUGGAUC